rnacentral:rRNA from 1 species
UUAUACAGCGACUGCGAAUGGCUCAUUAUAUAAGUUAUCGUUUAUUUGAUAGUACCUUACUACUUGGAUAACCGUGGUAAUUCUAGAGCUAAUACAUGCUAAAAAUCCCGACUUCGGAAGGGAUGUAUUUAUUAGAUUAAAAACCAAUGCCCUCUGGGCUCUCUGGUGAUUCAUGAUAACUUCUCGAAUCGCAUGGCCUUGCGCCGGCGAUGGUUCAUUCAAAUUUCUUCCCUAUCAACUUUCGAUGUUUGGGUAGUGGCCAAACAUGGUUGCAACGGGUAACGGAGGGUUAGGGCUCGACCCCGGAGAAGGAGCCUGAGAAACGGCUACUACAUCCAAGGAAGGCAGCAGGCGCGCAAAUUACCCAAUCCCGAUUCGGGGAGGUAGUGACAAUAAAUACUGAUACAGGGCUCUUUUGGGUCUUGUAAUUGGAAUGAGUACAAUUUAAAUCCCUUAACGAGGAACAAUUGGAGGGCAAGUCUGGUGCCAGCAGCCGCGGUAAUUCCAGCUCCAAUAGCGUAUAUUAAAGUUGUUGUGGUUAAAAAGCUCGUAGUUGAACCUUGGGCCUGGCUGGCCGGUCCGCCUCACCGCGUGUACUGGUCCGGCCGGGCCUUUCCCUCUGUGGAACCCCAUGCCCUUCACUGGGUGUGGCGGGGAAACAGGACUUUUACUUUGAAAAAAUUAGAGUGCUCCAGGCAGGCCUAUGCUCGAAUACAUUAGCAUGGAAUAAUAAAAUAGGACGUGUGGUUCUAUUUUGUUGGUUUCUAGGACCGCCGUAAUGAUUAAUAGGGACAGUCGGGGGCAUCAGUAUUCAAUUGUCAGAGGUGAAAUUCUUGGAUUUAUUGAAGACUAACUACUGCGAAAGCAUUUGCCAAGGAUGUUUUCAUUAAUCAGGAACGAAAGUUAGGGGAUCGAAGACGAUCAGAUACCGUCGUAGUCUUAACCAUAAACUAUGCCGACUAGGGAUCGGACGAUGUUAUUUUUUUGACUCGUUCGGCACCUUACGAGAAAUCAAGUGCUGGCUCAGGGGGAGUAUGGUCGCAGCUGAAACUAAGAAUGACGAAGGGCACAUCAGGUGAGCUGCGCUAUUUGACUCACACGGCA